AACGAACGCUGGCGGCAUGCCUAACACAUGCAAGUCGAACGAGACCUUCGGGUCUAGUGGCGCACGGGUGCGUAACGCGUGGGGAUCUGCCCUUUGCUUCGGAAUAACAGUUAGAAAUGACUGCUAAUACCGGAUGAUGACUUCGGUCCAAAGAUUUAUCGGCAAAGGAUGAACCCGCGUAGGAUUAGCUAGUUGGUGGGGUAAAGGCCUACCAAGGCGACGAUCCUUAGCUGGUCUGAGAGGAUGAUCAGCCACACUGGGACUGAGACACGGCCCAGACUCCUACGGGAGGCAGCAGUGGGGAAUAUUGGACAAUGGGCGAAAGCCUGAUCCAGCAAUGCCGCGUGAGUGAUGAAGGCCUUAGGGUUGUAAAGGCUCUUUUACCCGGGAUGAUAAUGACAGUACCGGGAGAAUAAGCUACCGGCUAACUCCGUGCCAGCAGCCGCGGUAAU
rnacentral:rRNA from 1 species